UACGGAGGGUGCGAGCGUUAAUCGGAAUUACUGGGCGUAAAGCGCACGCAGGCGGUUUGUUAAGCUAGAUGUGAAAGCCCCGGGCUCAACCUGGGAUGGUCAUUUAGAACUGGCAGACUUGAGUCUUGGAGAGGGGAGUGGAAUUCCAGGUGUAGCGGUGAAAUGCGUAGAUAUCUGGAGGAACAUCAGUGGCGAAGGCGACUCCCUGGCCAAAGACUGACGCUCAUGUGCGAAAGUGUGGGUAGCGAACAGG
rnacentral:rRNA from 1 species